rnacentral:tRNA from 1 species
AGGAUUAUAGUUAAAUAUAACAUUUAAUUUGCACUUAAAAAGUAUUGCUUGUUCAAUUAAUCUUA